GACGAACCGUGCGAACGUUAUUCGGAAUCACUGGGCUUAAAGCGCGUGUAGGCGGGCCGCCACGUCGGCUGCUGAAAUCCCCCGGCUCAACCGGGGAAGUGGCACCGAUACGAGCGGCCUCGAGGGGGGUAGGGGGGUCUGGAACUUCCGGUGGAGCGGUGAAAUGCGUUGAGAUCGGAAGGAACGCCCGUGGCGAAAGCGAGGCCCUGGACCCUUACUGACGCUGAGACGCGAAAGCCAGGGAGCGAACGGG
rnacentral:rRNA from 1 species